rnacentral:rRNA from 1 species
CCUACGGGAGGCAGCAGUGGGGAAUAUUGCACAAUGGGGGAAACCCUGAUGCAGCGACGCCGCGUGAGCGAAGAAGUAUUUCGGUAUGUAAAGCUCUAUCAGCAGGGAAGAAAAUGACGGUACCUGAGUAAGAAGCUCCGGCUAAAUACGUGCCAGCAGCCGCGGUAAUACGUAUGGAGCAAGCGUUAUCCGGAUUUACUGGGCGUAAAGGGAGAGUAGGCGGCCUGCCAAGUCUGAUGUGAAAUACCGGGGCUCAACCCCGGGGCUGCCUUGGAAACUGGCAGGCUGGGGGGCCGGGGCGGCAGGCGGAAUUCCUAGUGGAGCGGGGAAAAGGGUAGGUAUUAGGAGGAACACCAGGGGCGAAGGCGGACUGCUGGACGGUGACUGACGCUGAGGGUCGAAAGCGUGGGGAGCAAACAGGAUUAGAUACCCUUGUAGUC